rnacentral:tRNA from 1 species
AGCCCCGGGGUGUUACACGUAGGGUUGCAAACCCUAAGAUGCAGGCUAACCCCCUGCCGGGGCUU